rnacentral:rRNA from 1 species
CCUACGGGUGGCUGCAGUGAGGAAUAUUGGUCAAUGGGCGCGAGCCUGAACCAGCCAAGUAGCGUGAAGGAUGACUGCCCUACGGGUUGUAAACUUCUUUUAUAAAGGAAUAAAGUGAGGCACGUGUGCCUUUUUGUAUGUACUUUAUGAAUAAGGAUCGGCUAACUCCGUGCCAGCAGCCGCGGUAAUACGGAGGAUCCGAGCGUUAUCCGGAUUUAUUGGGUUUAAAGGGAGCGUAGGUGGGUUGUUAAGUCAGUGGUGAAAGUUUGGGGCUCAACCGUAAAAUUGCAAUUGAUACUGGUAGUCUUGAGUACAGUUGAGGUAGGCGGAAUGCGUGGUGUAGCGGUGAAAUGCAUAGAUAUCACGAAGAACUCCGAUUGCGAAGGCAGCUUACUAACCUGCCACUGACAUUGAUGCUCGAAAGUGUGGGUAUCAAACAGGAUUAGAUACCCUUGUAGUC